rnacentral:rRNA from 1 species
CCUACGGGAGGCUGCAGUGAGGAAUAUUGGUCAAUGGGCGGAAGCCUGAACCAGCCAAGUAGCGUGCGGGAUGAAGGCCCUACGGGUCGUAAACCGCUUUUGCACGGGGAUAACACCCUCCACUUGUGGAGGUCUGCAGGUACCGUGCGACUAAGGGCCGGCUAAUUCCGUGCCAGCAGCCGCGGUAAUACGGAAGGCCCGAGCGUGAUCCGGAUUCAUUGGGCUUAAAGGGAGCGUAGGCGGGCGUUCAAGUCAGCUGGAAAAUCGCUCGGCUAAACCGAACCCCGCAUUUGAAACUGGACGCCUUGAGUACACAACAGGCAGGCGGAAUUCGUGGUGUAGCGGUGAAAUGCAUAGAUAUCACGAGGAACCCCGAUGGCGAAGGCAGCCUGCCGGGGUGCGACUGACGCUGAGGCGCGAAGGUGCGGGUAUCAAACAGGAUUAGAUACCCUAGUAGUC